rnacentral:misc_RNA from 1 species
GAACUGCGAUAAGUAAUGUGAAUUGCAGAAUUCAGUGAAUCAUCGAGUCUUUGAACGCACAUUGCGCCCCCUGGCAUUCCGGGGGGCAUGCCUGUUUGAGUAUCAUGAAAUCUUCAAAGUAAAUCUUUUGUUAACUCAAUUGGUUUCUACUUUGGUAUUGGAGGUCUUUGCAGCUUCACACCUGCUCCUCUUUGUUCAUUAGCUGGAUCUCAGUGUUAUGCUUGGUUCCACUCGGCGUGAUAAGUUAUCUAUCGCUGAGGACACUGUAAAAGGUGGCCAAGGUAAAUGCAGAUGAACCGCUUCUAAUAGUCCAUUGACUUGGACAAUACUUUUAUGAUCUGAUCUCAAAUCAGGUAGGACUACCCGCUGAACUUAAGC